UAGCUCGAGCUAGCCAGUAAACUCCUUUGCCUUUUGCAGCCUCGGUGACUCUGCCUCUCUGUUCCUGGGGCCGAGGAAAACCGGUUCUAACAGACUGGUGCUGUCGGCACUGCAGUCUUGUACCAUCUUUGUGUGUCUGUGUGUUUCUUUCUGUGUUCAUCCCCCGUUCUGCAACUGGGCCGCAACAAGUGGUGCAGCGAGCAGGGUCUGUGUCGUUCAGGACGGAGGGACCGAAGAGGCACCCCUUUGGCCAUUGUCUACAGAUGCUGGCACUACCGAAAAAUAAAAAUCAACCAACGUAAUCAAAAUAUCAUGAUGGUCUUUGAGCAUAUUUGAUCUCAAACUUAAAAGAAGAGGGGGAGAUGUAGGGACCGUCCCUGGGCAAGAAUUGGCUUGAGCCCAGAGUCAGGGAAGCUGGACGUGCUUCUUGGGGCCAGAGGUCAAUAGGUCCAGACACGGCCUGUUGAAUGCUCCUUGGGGCCAGAGGUCAAUGGCCUGUUGAACGAACUGUUCCCUAUGGCAAAUAGCCAAGGGCCUGAGGUCUUGCAGGCAAGCCAAGGCGUCUCAUUGUCCUGCACUCGGUAAUGAGGUCAAAAGGUUAAGAUGCAAACAUCUGCCUCCCUUGAGCAAUUUUCCAAAAGGAAUGGAACAUGUUUCCUCAGGGCUCUAAAGAUAGUCACGUACCAGGAAGUAGCUGCUGGACAAAAAAAGUAUAAAAAUAAAACGACUGGUGCUGUCAGCAGGGCACUGCAGUCUUGUACCGUC